AUCUGGUCAGCUCAGUGGGAAGAGCAUGUGACUCUUGAUCUUGGGGUCAUGGGUUUAAGCCCCACAUUGGAUG
rnacentral:tRNA from 1 species